rnacentral:rRNA from 1 species
CAGUCGCCGCGGGAAUACGUAGGUGGCAAGCGUUGUCCGGAUUUAUUGGGCGUAAAGGGAGUGUAGGCGGUCUUUUAAGUCUGAUGUGAAAGCCCACGGCUCAACCGUGGAGGGUCAUUGGAAACUGGGAGACUUGAGUGCAGAAGAGGAGAGCGGAAUUCCAUGUGUAGCGGUGAAAUGCGUAGAUAUAUGGAGGAACACCAGUGGCGAAGGCGGCUCUCUGGUCUGUAACUGACGCUGAGGCUCGAAAGCGUGGGGAGCAAACAGGAUUAGAUACCCCGGUAGUCCCUGUCUCUUAUAC